UUGUUUGUAUUGAUGUUAAUGUGAUUGCAGGUUUUGUAUUGUUAAUGUGAUUGCAGGUUGCUUGUAUUGAUGUUAAUGUGUUUGCAGGUUGUUUGUAUUGACGUUUAUGUGAUUGCAGGUUGUUUGUAUUGAUGUUAAUGUGAUUGCAGGUUGCUUGUAUUGAUAAUGUGAUUACAGGUUGUUUGGAUUGAUAAUGUGAUUGCAGGUUGUUUGUAUUGAUGUUAAUGUGAUUGCAGGUUGCUUGUAUUGAUGUUAAUGUGUUUGCAGGUUGUUUGUAUUGACGUUUAUGCGAUUUCAGGUUGUUUGUAUUGAUGUUUAUGUGAUUGCAGGUUGUUUGUAUUGAUGUUUAUGUGAUUGCAGGUUGUUUGUAUUGAUGUUUAUGUGAUUGCAGAUUGUUUGUAUUGAUCUUUAUGUGAUUGCUGGUUGUUUGUUUUGAUGUUUAUGUGAUUGCAGGUUGUUUGUAUUGCUCUUUAUGGAUUGCUGGUUGUUUAUGUGAUUGUGAUUGCAGGUUACUUGUAUUGAUGUUAAUGUGAUUGCAGGUUGCUUGUAUUGGUUUUAAUGUGAUUGCAGGUUGCUUGUAUUGACGUUAAUGUGAUUGCAGGUUGUUUGUAUUGAUGUUAAUGUGAUUGCAGGUUGUUUGUAUUGAUGUUAAUGUGUUUGCAGGUUGUUUGUAUUGACGUUUAUGUGAUUGCAGGUUGUUUGUAUUGAUGUUAAUGUGAUUGCAGGUUGCUUGUAUUGAUAAUGUGUUUGCAGGUUGCUUGUAUUGGUUUUAAUGUGAUUGCAGGUUGCUUGUAUUGACGUUUAUGUGAUUGCAGGUUGUAUUGAUGUUAAUGUGAUUGCAGGUUGUUUGUAUUGAUGUUAAUGUGAUUGCAGGUUGCUUGUAUUGGUUUUAAUGUGAUUGCAGGUUGCUUGUAUUGACGUUUAUGUGAUUGCAGGUUGUAUUGAUGUUAAUGUGAUUGCAGGUUGCUUGUAUUGAUGUUAAUGUGUUUGCAGGUUGUUUGUAUUGACGUUUGUGAUUUCAGGUUGUUUGUAUUGAUUAUGUGAUUGCAGGUUGUUUGUAUUGAUGUUUAUGUGAUUGCAG